UCCUCCAUGGCGUAAUUGGUUAGCACGCCUGACUUAUCACCGGGAGUUGGAAGUUCAGUCCUUCCUGAAGGAG
rnacentral:tRNA from 1 species